CGGAACGCCAGGCCCGGACUGAACGCCAGCCUGUCUGCUCCGGGACCGCGUUCUCGCCAGGCAGGUUACACAACAGCAGACUGCAACGGAAUCAGGUUCCACCGAAGGAAAUCACCGCCUUCAUGGCGCUUCGAUUACACCUGAGAUAAGAGGAGGGGAAGGCAAGAAGAUAGCACAGCCUGCCGGGCAGUGGAGGUGCUGGGCCGCGAAAAUGGCUUUAGUCUGUGCAGGGACCGGAAAAGUAAGGAGUAUUCUUCCUGUUUCGAGGACGAGGAAUCCCAGGCUUAGGGGAGAUUGGUCAACGACCUUUGAAUUGAGGCCAUUCGACUUCAGAGGCCAGGUUUCUAAACCUGGUCCUGCUACCCCUGAGCUGUAGAAACUGGACCAAGGUGGCUCGGGUGUGUUGUGACUGGGUGCUGUUCAUUUGUAGAUGGUUGAGGUGAGCUAGGUUUUUUGUUUUGGUUUGGUUUGAUUUUUUACUUACUACGUGCUGGUGUGUAGGAGUAGGCUACGCGUCUUACCAAGCAGAGAUCCUGGUGUUCAACCCUCAUACUCAGUAACGAGCCUCGGCUCUCGUCUCCUUCCAAGUUACGUAAAGGCUGUGUUCUCCGAACUAAUCUUCAGAUUGUAAAAGUCUGACCACUGGUACAAUGAGCCAAAAACUAGCCUUUCUUGCCAAGAUGCAUGGUGAAUGUUUCACAAAAAGGAAUAUUUUAAACUGAGCAUAUUCAUCCUGUGCUCAGCAGGGUCCAGGAAAGUUUUGUGUCCAUGGGGUGAACCCAGGGUUUGCCACAGAAGGAGCCGGUUUUAGGUCAAGUUGCCCUCGGUCUGAGCCAGCCUUCCAGGAGUUUCUGUUUGGUUCUUUUCUGGUAUGAAGGGGUGAACAUUUCGCUCUUGUCUAGUCUGUAUAUUGAUUUAUGACAUUUUUUGAUUUCAUCGAAAUCUCCAGGCCAUGAAGUAUUUUAAGGGAUUUUCCUCCAUGGUACUACAAGGAAUCUCUCCCUUUUAGAAAAUUUAAUGCAAAAUUUCAAAAUUCCAGAAUCCCCAAAAUGACUGCACCUUGGAGUUUAUGAGAUCUCAUUUGUGGUGGAUGAUGACCUAGAGUAUUUGUCCAAACAAGCACAAAUGUCUGGAAACAAUAAACAGAUGACUGGGCAUCCUUUCCUGGACUUUGGAUGUACCUUUCAUACACUGGCAGGAAGCCACAAGGAAAGCUGAGUCAGCACAGAGAAUAGGAGCAGCUACCAGAAAGUUAGGAAUCAGCCUGUGAUUCAUAUGCACCAGCUAAAAGGAAAAAAAAAAAAAGCAAGUCUAGUGCCCAAAAUACACCAGCACCUUUUCCAGGGCCCUCCCUCUGGAUGAGCAUGACACCUGGAGAGCUUGUAAGGUCUCAUGGAAAUACUGCACUUCAAGUUAUUUAAGAAGGGUCCGAAGGACGUCCAGCCUCUUGAAGUGAUAAUCAAAUGCAAUCGGACUUCCUUAGAAGCAGCAAAGUUACAGUCGUGGACCAUAUCUGGCAGGGCUUCCAGACUUACAGCACAUGCCAGGCAUAAUUGAAUGUUACAAGAAUAGGAAGUCCUCUCCCAGAAUACUCCCCAUGACAGAUGGCAGAAUUACACCAGGAGAGACCCAGAAGAGGAACACAAGCAAGGGCGCCACAGGCAGUGUGGCACAUGACUGACUACAUUGAUAUAAUCAAAGAUGGAUCAAAUAUGCAACAAAACUAUACUUCAUAAGCAAACACAGAAAAUCAAACAUAAUAAAAUACCUCAAAAGAUUUUCUGUAUUGGCACUAUUAGACAACUGUAAAAUAACUGGACCAUGUACAAAGAAAUACUAUUUAAGCUUAAAGAUAUAGACAUAGUGGAAAAGUAUUAGAAAUGCAACAUUGUACAUUUUAAAAAUAACUAGAAAAAUAUUCUACAGAUUGCAAAGAAUUUAAUCUACUUAAAAUCAUUUAACAGGAAAUUAGACAUACCCUACAAGAAUUACUAAACUGGAAGAUAAAUUAGAAUAAGUUAUCCAGAGUAUAGCACAAUGAAACAAAAUUAGGCAUAACAUGGAAGAGUAAGUAACAGUCAUAGACGAUAGAGUAAGAAAUUUUGAUAUCUAUAAAUCCAGAAUUCAAGAAGGAGGAAAAAGUUGAGUGACCGAAGCAAUACGUAUGUGAAGAAUCACGGGCUGGGGAUUUAGCUCAGUGGUUUCGCCGCCUGCUGCGCAAGCGCAAGGACCCGAGUUAGAUCCCCGGUAUCAAAAAACAAAAACAACCCCACCACCACCACCCGCCGACAUAUGUGAAGAAUCAUUUAAUAGCAAGUUAGACACAGUGAAGACAACGCUGGUAAGUAAGUUGACAGAUCAACAGAAAUACCCACACAGAGAGAUGAAAGAAUUGAAGUUACACAAUAGACCUUUAGGGAUAUAGCGAAAACCAUGAAUAUAUAAUAUAUAGGUAAUCAUAGUUCCACAGUGAGAGGAC
rnacentral:lncRNA from 1 species